UAGGGAAUCUUCGGCAAUGGGGGGAACCCUGACCGAGCAACGCCGCGUGAGUGAAGAAGGUUUUCGGAUCGUAAAGCUCUGUUGUUAAGGAAGAACGAGUGUGAGAAUGGAAAGUUCAUGCUGUGACGGUACUUAACCAGAAAGGGACGGCUAACUACGUGCCAGCAGCCGCGGUAAUACGUAGGUCCCGAGCGUUGUCCGGAUUUAUUGGGCGUAAAGCGAGCGCAGGCGGUUAGAAAAGUCUGAAGUGAAAGGCAGUGGCUCAACCAUUGUAGGCUUUGGAAACUGUUUAACUUGAGUGCCGAAGGGGAGAGUGGAAUUCCAUGUGUAGCGGUGAAAUUCGUAGAUAUAUGGAGGAACACCGGUGGCGAAAGCGGCUCUCUGGUCUGUAACUGACGCUGAGGCUCGAAAGCGUGGGGAGCGAACAGG
rnacentral:rRNA from 1 species